AUGGUGGCGGACGGGUGAGUAACGCGUAAAGACUUGCCUUGCAGUCUGGGACAACGUCUGGAAACGGACGCUAAUACCGGAUAUUAUUGCAUGAUGAAAGCUAUAUGCGCUGCGAGAGAGCUUUGCGUCCCAUUAGUUAGUUGGUGAGGUAACGGCUCACCAAGACGAUGAUGGGUAGCCGGCCUGAGAGGGUGAACGGCCACAAGGGGACUGAGACACGGCCCUUACUCCUACGGGAGGCAGCAGUGGGGAAUAUUGGACAAUGGACCAAAGUCUGAUCCAGCAAUUCUGUGUGCACGAUGAAGUUUUUCGGAAUGUAAAGUGCUUUCAGUUGGGAAGAAGAAAGUGACGGUACCAACAGAAGAAGCGACGGCUAAAUACGUGCCAGCAGCCGCGGUAAUACGUAUGUCGCAAGCGUUAUCCGGAUUUAUUGGGCGUAAAGCGUGUCUAGGCGGUUUGGUAAGUCUGAUGUGAAAAUGCG
rnacentral:rRNA from 1 species